ACAAAGAGAGGCUCUGUCUCAAAAAACAAACAAACAAAUUUGCCAUAGAAGCCUGGAAAGAACAUUCCAGGGUCAUUUUAAUACAUUUCCAGAUUUCCCACACUAAAACUCUCCAGAAGACAAAUACUGGAAUCUCAAAAAAAAAAAAAAAAAAAAA